rnacentral:rRNA from 1 species
GAGGAUUGACAGAUUGAGAGCUCUUUCUUGAUUUUGUGGGUGGUGGUGCAUGGCCGUUCUUAGUUGGUGGAGUGAUUUGUCUGCUUAAUUGCGAUAACGAACGAGACCUUAACCUGCUAAAUAGCCCGUAUUGCUUUGGCAGUACGCCGGCUUCUUAGAGGGACUAUCGGCUCAAGCCGAUGGAAGUUUGAGGCAAUAACAGGUCUGUGAUGCCCACCA